CUACUAUUUUAAAAGCAUGUGACCUUAUAGAUCUAUAAAAUGUGAGAAGUGUUCAACAAUCUUUGAUAUUACACAUAAACCCCACACUAAAAUGCCUUUCAAUAAGUAAAAUGAACCAUUUUAAAUACAGGGAAUUCUAAUUAGAUUGGCAUAGUUAAGGCCAAAAAUAUAAAGUAGACAUUGCUCCCUUAUUUAUCUUCAACCCUUGCGUUUAAGAGGCAAAUGAACACAAAACACAGGUGAAUCUUGCUUUGUUCUGAGACAGUGAAGAAAUUUCCCCAGUAUUUAAAUAUAUUUACAUAAACAGUUAUAUAAAUCUAAAUAAAACCAAUCUCCAAUAAGUUUUAAGAUGGCACUCACCAUCUUUGUGGAAAGUUGAACGUUACUAACGAAGUCUAAUCAUAUCUUUGGAAGGGGUAAACAGUAAUAGCACUUACUGAAUUGGAAUUACUAUUAAAUUCACAAACUGAACAUACUCAUUUAGCCACAAGCCAGUCUUAGUUUUAAAUCAGGACUGCCCAGCAAAAUAUUCUGUCAGUCAUUCAUGAUCUGAAUUCUAGUGUAUGAGAUCUAUUAAAGUAUGGUACAUGUAGAAAAGUCAUGAGACAUUUCUGUUUUGUAGUAAAUAAGGCCUUUGCCCAUUUUUAAAUGAAAUUAUUUUUUCCACUGUUGAUUUGAGUUCCUUGUGUAUUAUGUAUAUUAGUCCCCUGUUUGAGGAGUAAUUUGCAAAUAUUUUCUCCCAUUCAAGAGGUUGUCUCUUUACUCCAUUGGUUAUUUCUUUUGCUGUGCAGAAGCUUUUUAGUUUAAUAUACUUCCAUUUGUGUGUGUGUGUGUGUGUGUGUGUGUGUGUGUGUGUGUGUUUCUUUUUUUUCAGACAGGGUCUCAUUCUGUUGCCCAGGCUGGAGUGCAGUGGUAUGAUCUUGGCUCACUGCAGCCUCUGCCUCCUUGGUUCAAGCGAUCCUCCUACCUCAGCCUCCUGAGUAGCUGGGACUAAAGGUAUGUGCCACAACACUUGGCUAAUUUUUGUACUUUUUUUGGUAGAGAUGGGUUUUUACCAUGUUGCCCAGGCUGGUCUUGAACUCCUGGGAUCAAGCAAUCUGCCCACGUCGGCCUCCCAAAGUGCUGGGAUUACAGGUGUGAGCCACCAUGCCCAGCCUAUUUUUGUUUUUAUUGCCUGUGCUUUUGAGGUCUUAGCCAUAAAAAUCUUUGCCUAGACCAGUAAGUAUCCUGAGGAGUUUUCCCUGUUUUAUUCUAGUGGUUUUAUAGUUUCGGGUCUUACGUUUAAGUAUUUAAUCCAUUUUGAGUAGACUUUUGUACAUGGUGAAAGAUAGGGGUACAGUUUCAUUCUUUUUUUUUUUUUUUUUUUUUUUUUUUACUUCAGGUUAUGUAUCUGAUAGCCAGUUUCAUUCUUCUCAGUAUGGUUAUCCACUUGCCUCAGCACCAUUUAUUGAAAAGGGUGUCAUUUCUCCAAUGUAUGUUCUUGGUGGCUUUGUUGAAGAUCAGUUGGCUAUAAAUAUGUGGAUUUAUUUCUGGGUUCUCUAUUCUAUUAGAUUGGUCUAUUUGUCUAUUUUCAUUCCAACAUCAUGCUGUUUUGGUUACUUGUAGUCUGUUUUGAAGUCAGGUAGUGUGAUACCUCCAGCUUGGUUCUUUUUGCUUAGUAAUGCUUUGGCUAUUUGUGUUCUUUCUUGGUUCCAUACAAAUUUUGGAAUUUUUUUUUCUAUUUCUGUGAAAAAUGAUAUUAGUAUUUUUGAUAAGGAUUGUAUCAAAUCUGUAGAUUACUUUGGGCAGUAUGGUCAUUUUAAUGAUAUGAAUUCUUCCAAUCCAUGGGCACAAAAUGUCUUUCCAUUUAUUCGUAUCCUCUUCGAUUUCUUUCAUAGUGUUUUGUAGUUUUCCUUGUAGAGAUCUUUCACCUCCUUGGUUAAAUUUAUUUCUAGGUAUUUUUUUUUGGUAAUGGGAACUGCCUUCUGGAUUUCUUUUUUGCCUAUUUCAUUAUUGGAGUAUAGAAGUGCUACCAAUUUUUGUGUUUUUGUAUCCUGUAAUUUUACUGAAUUUAUCAGUUCUAGGAGUUUUUUGGUGGCACCUUUUGUUUUUUCUAGAUAUAAAAUUAUGUCGUCUGCAAAGAAGGAUCAUUUGGCUUUCUCUUUUCCAAAUUAGAUGCCUUUUAUUUCUUGUUCUUGUCUGAUUGCUCUGGCUAGGACUUCCAGUACUAUGUUGAAUAGAAGCGGUGAAAGUGGGCAUUCUUGACUUGUUCCAAUUAAUAGAGGAAAGGUUUUCACCAUUCAGUAUGAUGAUAGCUGUAGGUUUGUUCUAAUAUUGCCUUUAUUAUUUUGAGGUAUGAUUCUUCUAUGCCUAAUUUGUUGAGCAUUUUUAAUCCUGAAGCAGUGUUGAAUUUUGUCAAAUCUUUUUUCUGCAUCUAUUGAGAUUAACAUAUGGUUUUGCCCUUCAUUUUGUUGAUGUGGUGUAUCAUGUUUAUUGAUUUGCAUGUGCUGAACCAUCCUUGCAUUCCUAGUAUAAAUUUAAAUUGAUCAUGGUGUAUUAUCUUUUUGAUGUGCUGUUGCACUUAGUUUGCUAGUAUUUUGUUGAGGGUUUUUGCAUCUGUGUUAAUCAGGGAUAUUGGCCUGUACUUUUCUUUUUUUGUUGUGUCCUUGUCUGGUUUUGGCAUCAGAGUAAUACUGGCCUUACAGAAUGAGUAAGAGAUGAUUCCCUCCUUUUCAAGUUUUUGGAAUAGUUUGAGGAGGAUUGUUAUUAAUUUUUCUUUUUGCAUUUGGUAAAAUUCAGCUGUUAUUCCAUCUGGUCCUGGACUUUUCUUUGUUGAGAGGCUUUUUCUUACUGAUUCAAUCUUGCUACCUGUUAUUGGUCUGUUCAGGUUUUUUAUUUCAUCCUGAUUCAAUCUUGGUGGGUUUUGUUUCCAGGAAUUUAUUCAUUUCCUCUACAUAUUCCAGUUGGUUAUCAUAUAGUUAGUUGUUCAUAAUGAUCUCUGAUGAUCUUUUGUAUUUCUGUGGUAUCAGUUGUAAUGUAUCCUUUUUCAUUUCUGACUUUGUUUAUUUGGGUCUUCUCUCUUCUUGGUUAGUCUAGUGGUUUAUAAACUUUAUCUUUUCAAAGAGCAUAUAUAUAUAUUUGCUCUUUGAAAUAUUUGCUCUAUUUCACCACUUCUCUGAUCUUUGUGUUUUUUUCUUCUGUGAAUUUUGGGUUUGUUCUUGCUCUUCCAGUUUCUUGGAGUGUAUCAUUAGAUUGUUUAUUUAAAAUCUUUAUUUUUGUUGAUGUAGGCAUUUAUUGCUAUACACUUCUCUCUUAGCAUUGCUUUUGCUGUGUCCCACAGGUUUUGCAUGUUAUGUUUCUAUUUUCAAUUGUUUCAAGAAAUUUUUGAUUUUCAUCUUAAUGGUCAUUCAAGAGCAUGUUGUUUAAUUUCCAUGUAUUUGUAUAGUUUCCAAGUUCCUUCUGGUAUUGAUUUAUAUAGUUUUAUUCCAUUGUGGUCUGAGAAGAUAUUUGAUAUAAUUUUGAUUUUUGAAAAUUUGUUGAGACAUGCUUUCUGGCCUAACGUAUAGUCAAUCCUGGUGAAUGUACCAUGUCCUGAUGAGAAGAAUGUUUAUUCUGCAGUUGUUGGAUAAAAUGUUCUGUAAAUGUCUAUUAGGUCCAUUUGGUCUAAAGUCCAGUUUAAGUCUAAUGCUUCUCUGGGAGUGGGGAGUUGAAGUCUCCCACUAUUAUUGUAUCAGAGUCUAGCUCUUUCUUUAGAUCUAGUAAUAUUUGACUUAUGAAUCUGGGUGCUCCAGUGUUGGGUGCAUAUGUAUUUAAAAUUAUUGUAUCCUCUUGCUGGAUUUAUCCCUUUCUCAUUACAUAAUGACUGUCUUUGUCUUUUUUUAAAAACUGCUUUUGACUUAAAGUCUGUUUUAUCUGAUAUAAGUAUAACUGCUCCUGCUCACUUUUGAUUUCUGUUUGUGUGGAAUAUCUUUUUCCAACCUUUUACUUUCAGUCUGUAUCUGUCUUUACAGGUAAAGUGUGUUUCUUGUAGGCAGCAUAUAGUUGGUUCACUUUUUAAAAAUUUCUUAAGUCAGUCUACAUCUUUUAAGUGGAGAAUUGAAUCCAUUUACAUUCGAAGUAAUUAUUGAUAUAUGAGGUUUUAUUUGCUUUACUGUUAAUUAUUUUCUGAUUGCUUCCUUUUUUUUUUCUCUCUUAUUGUUUGUCCUUGUGGUUUGCUGUUCUCCUGUGGUGGUACCAUUUGAGUCUUUUCUCUUCCUCAUUUGUGUGUUUGCUUUAUAGUGAGUUUUAUAAGUUUGUGUAUUUUCAUGAUGCUAACUGUCAUCUUUUUGCUUUCGGGUUUCGGACUUUUUUGAGCAUAUAUUGUAAGGUCAGUUCAGUAGUGAUGAAAUCCCUCAGCAUUUGCUUGGGAAAGACUGUAUUUCUCCUUCAUUUAUGAAGAAUAAUUUUGCUGGAUGUAGUACCCUUGGGUAGGAGUAGUUUUUUCUUUCAGCACUUUGAAUAUAUCAUCCUAUUCUCUCCUGGUGUGUAAAGUAUCUGCUGAGAAGUCAACUGUUAGUCCAAUAGGGGCUCCUUUAUAAGUGACCAGAUGCUUUUCUCUGGCUACUUUUAGAAUCUUCUCUGUCAUUGACAGAGAAAGCAGAUCUAGCCUAUCAUUGAAGCUUUCAAGUAUAUUUUAUCUUUCAUUCCAGGAGUUCUCCAGUCCCAGAAUUUCUAUUUAGUCCUUUUUAAUGAUAUUUAUCUCUUUGUUACAUGUCUCAUUCAUAUUCUGAAUUGUUUUUCUUAUUUCUUUGUAUCGUUUUUCAGAAUUCUUUUGUAUCUCACUGAGCUUAUUUAGUAUCACACUUUUGAAUUCUGUUUUCAGAAUUUCAUGAAUUUCUUUUUGAUUGGCAUCUGUUGCUGGGAAAUUAUUGUGUUCUUGAGGUGUCAUAUUUCCUUGCUUUUUCAUGUUUCCUGCAUCCUUAAAUUGAUAUCUGUGCAUCUGCUGUAGUAGUAAUUUCUUUCAAUUUUUAAAAUUUGCUUUCAUAUGGGAGGACUUUUUCCUGAAGAUGUAUCAAUAAUGUUGCUUGGAUAGGGCCCUUUGGGCUUUGAUUCUGGGCGUGUGCAGUAGUGUAGUCUCUGCAUGAUUUCUUUGACUGUAGAUGGCAUGAAUGAUAUCUGUGAUUUCUUUGGUUGUUUAGGGUGCAUUUAUUAGUAGAGGCUGUGAUGAAGUUUUGCUGAGGACAAAGCUGCCAGGUGGGCCAGUCUUCAGGCCUCAGUGGUGGCAGCAGUGGGCUGAGUAUACUUGUUCUUAGCCCCAGGGUGACAUUUGCUAGCACUGGUGUUAGUGGGACCAGGCAGGUCAAUUCUUGAGCCUCCAGGUGGCUCACUCAAAUACUGGCAGUGGCAGUGGUGGGCCAGGAGGGUGAAUGAGUUCUGAGAUACCUAGGCAGCUGGCGUGGUAUGGGUGCUGGCAGUAGCAGUGGGAGGAUGAUUCUCUGGGUCUGAGUAGUGUGCACUGGUGUUGGCAGUGGCUGUGAUAUGAGGUCACCAUCCACAGCCCCAGACAUGUAGCUGACAGGCUUGCCUGCUCUUGGUGGCAGCAGCGCAGCAGCACCGCAGCACCACAUAGAAGUGGGAAGGGACCCUGUCUUUUGCCCAUAAGCCUGGGCAUGAAAGCCACAUUGCCAGUUGGGGCGUGGUUGCCACUCACAGCCCCAGACAGGCAGCCUUUUGUCUUGCCUGUCCUAGCUCCUGGUGGCAGCAGCAGUGGCUACAGCUGCAGCAGUGUGACAAAGGGGAGAGAAGGUCCUGCUGUCUAUGGGCAAGCCUGAGCACAGAGGCUGCUCUGCUGGUGGGGGUGGGGUCACUUCUCUCAGCCCCAGACUGUCAGCUCUCAGGAUUAUCCACCUCGGCUCCUGGUUGCAGCAACUGCUGUGGCAGUAUGUGGAGCGAGCACCUCUGGCUCCCAACUUCUCCUGACUGAGCUGGCCACUCGCUUCCUUCUCCUCUGUGCCUCAGGCGCUUGCUGAGACUUCUCUGUUGGACUCUAGUGCUCUCUCCUGGAUGUUCUAUUCGAGCUCUGCCGCACUAAGCUCUCUACAUGGCCGAGGCACCAGACCAGAAUGCGCCCUUUCGACAGGCAGAGAGAGCCAAAGGGGAAAAGAGCUGAGUCAAGGCUGCCAAGUUCCUGCUUCCAGCCCUACCAGCCGGUCACUCGCGCCUUGCAAUGAGGAAACCAGGAGUCCUAUCUAGAGCCUUUCCAUAGUUGUGGGAAAGAAGAUGGGUAAAGUUAUUGUUAAUCUACAGAGGAAGGAAUGAUGCCAAGUUUUUCAAGGCUUCCAGAGUCACAGGAGGAGUCACUUGGUAAAUCCAGGAGCAGAAACCAGGUUAAGUGACUAGCCUAAGGUAAGAGCCAGAUUUGGAGCUUGGAAUCUGAUAGCCCUUAGGGUGCUUUAUUCCCUGAGCCAAUCCACACUUCUACCUCAGUAAAGGAAUCAACUGAGGGCUCAGCUUUUCCUCUGCAAGAAACCUGCUCUCUGGGACAGUGAUAAUAUUAGGAGGUGGGGCCUUUCGGGAGGUGAUUGGGUCAUGAGGGUAGAACCCUUGUGAAUGGGAUUAACGAUCUUAUACAAUAGGCCCAAGGGAGCUCAUUCAUCCCUUCCACCACGUGAGGAUGUGGUGAGAAUGUGCUAUCUAUGAACCAGGAAGCAGACCCUCAGCAGACACUGAAUCUACCAGUCCCUUGACCUUGGACAUCCUAACCUCCAGAACUCAUGCACAAGCAAUUCUAAACAAGGCUCAGCGAUAACAUAUCCCUUCCCAUGAGUGGAUCACUCCCACUGCCUCUUUCACACACCCUGCCUCCUGCAAGCCAAUGCUGUGAAGCCCAACCUAGCCAUGUGGCAAGGGAGAUGUCUGCCCAGUCUCCAGCUGCUCCAGCCAUCCCAGCUCAGGCACCAGUCACUUGAGGGAAGAAGCCAUCUUGGAUGUCCAGCCUAGUCUGGCUUUGAGAAGACUCUAGCUCCUGCUGCCAUCUUACUGCAGUUUCAUGAAGGAUCAAAUGUCAUAGCCAUCCAGCCGAGCCUUGGCAAACUACAGACUGUAUAAGGAGUUUUUUUAGGGCACUCUGUUACGCAGCAAUUGAUAAACAAAAAAGAGAAGAGGCAUGCAAGAAGAAGAGAGCCUCUUCUCUCUUAAAAUAGCAACAAGUGUCCUUGGCUGUGUGGGGUCUCUAGAGAUCAGCUAAUCUUGAUGUUGACAGAGGCCAAAAGUACUUGAUUUCACUACCGGAUGGAAAUUAUAUCUGUGUAGAUGUUGCUAAGCAACAAGAGAUCAGAAACCUAUAAGGAGUGACCAUAUAAUGCAAAGCAUUGAGUCAGCCAACUGAGUUCCUCCUGCACUUAUUUUUUAGAACCUGCUUAUAAAAGAAGCAAUGUCCACAAUGUGUGGGGGGAGGAAAGUCUCCUGGGACCUUAAGAGGAAAGCGUACACUUCAUCAUAAUUUGCCUGCAAUGAUCAGCAAACGAAAAAGUCAAUACACAACCUGAAAAAUGGUCAUUGUUUGUGAUUUAAAAGAAGAGUAAGCUUUAGGAAUAAAUACUAACAUCACUGGGAACUCUGUCUCAUCCUCACAUCCUUUGAAAAGGCAUUUAUGAUAAUGUAAGCACAAAGAACAAAACUAUUUAAAGACCACACACAUACCCUCUCAAACAAAUCACCUCCCUUUGGGAAAGCAACAUGUUCACUGUGAUAAUUCAGCAUCAGGACCUGAGGUGGUGGGAACAGCUUUGGCUGGUUUGCUGCUCUCCAAGGAGCUCCUGUGCCGGCCGCAUUGGACAAGCAUCUCUGCCCUGCGGCGCAGAGUCUCCAGGACCAGCAGAUGGCGGACUUGCACAGUCCACACAUUUUCCAGGUUCUCAAGUGUUCGCUUCCUGGAUGUUCUGACUAAUUUAAACUAUGGUUAAUUGAAGACUGAAAUAUUCGGGAAACUAUGACAGGAACAAUUUGCUACGGACAGUUUCCACCUGUACUCUCAAGACUUAGAAGCCAUAUGGAUAGAAUGAAAUAGGAAUUGGUGGUGUCUUGGAAUAUCUGCUUCAGGACGAUAAUGAAACUAAUGAUUUAGGGCAGUAGAAGAAGCCGUGGGAGGAACUUUCACAUUUGGCGAGCAUGGAAUCCCCUCUGCAGUUAUGUUUGCCUGUGCAUCUCCGGCAGCUGGAGGACGAAUCACAUCAGGCUGAUGAGUGUGUCACGCUCUUCAUCCCCCAAGAGCUGUGAUGAAGACCAAGACAAACAGUAGAUUAACAGUGCUACCUUUUAUAAGGCUGAUUAGUUCCUAAAAUAUGCUGAAAGGAAACAAAACCAAAAAGAAAAAAGAGUGGAAAGGGGGGUGAGACAGAAACCUUUGUCGAGUCUCAUUCCAUCACCCAGGCUGGAGUGCAGCGGCGUGAUCUUGGCAACCUCCACCUCCCAGGCUCAAGAAAUCCUCCCACCUCAGCCUCCCAAUAGCUGGAUCUACAGGCGUACACCACCACAAUCAGCUGUAUUUUUUGUAGAGACUGGGUUUCGCCAUGUUGCCCAGGGUGGUCAUGAACUUGUGAGCUCAAGUGAUCUGCCCGCCUCAGCCUCCCAAAGUGCUGGGAUUACAGGCAUGAGCCACCGCCCCUGGCCUAAUAAAAUUUAUUUUUAAAAAAGGACCUAUGGCGAAUCAUUUUUACAAAUAAAAUCUAUAGUCAAGGUGCAGUAUGGGAACAGCAUUUUACUGAGUAAUCUUGCAAAGAAUAUGUCAUUAACCACUACACUAAUCUUGUUCUUGAUGUACACCAGCAACAAAUACAAAGAAAAAUUUAGUCUCUUACUUUAACAGGUUCCAAGUAUGCCACAUCGUAUUUUUUGCCAAAUAAUUUAUUAGUAAGAGGAGAUGACUCUAGUAAGUUAUAGAAGUUAUAUUGAAUUUUUAAAAAAAAUUUUUCAAAACUAUUCUGUGGGGAUUGAGGACAGAUGAACUACAAAGGAACAUGAUGGAACUUUCUGGGGUGAGCAUAAUGUUCUAUAUGAUGAUAGGGGCUUGGGUUACAUAAGUGAGCAUUUAUGAAAACUGUACACUUUUUGUGCAUUUCAUUGUGUAUAAAGUUUACUUCAAAAAAAACAUUGAACUCCAAUUAAUUACAUGCAUGCUGAACUAUUUAGAGUGAAGUAUACUGAUGCCUGUUGUUUACUUUGAAGUAUUUCAAAACAGUAAAAUGGAUAGAGGAAUGUGUAAUAAAUUGGUACACGAUAAGGAAAAUAUAGUCAAUUAUGUUAAUAGUAAAAUCUAGAUGGUGAGUAAACUGGUG
rnacentral:lncRNA from 1 species